GGGUUCAUAGCUCAACGGCAAGAGCAAUCGGCUUUUAACCGAUAGGUUCUGGGUUCGAAUCCCAGUGGACCCACCA
rnacentral:tRNA from 1 species